CCCAAAGCCCGUUUAACGUUUUCGCCCACUCGACUGCUGCUGCCGCUGCAGCCGCGGCCGUCGUCGCGUCACCAGGUUGCGGCCCGAAAAGGUUUUAUUAUUUUUCUUUUUCGCGCUCCUCUCGAACCUCAUUAUGAUAUACAAAUAUUAUACCGGAUGAAAUAAAAAAAAAAUGACUGGCAUACUUCGCGGGUGUGCACUGUUAUUGGUGAAAAGUCGGGAAGGCAGUAGAGGAUAAAUUCCAUGUAUAUCCGUGUGCUAACGAAAAAAACGAUUCUUAGAGGAGUUCGGUCAAUAGUGUCGCUUUGUCAACAGUACAAAAUAUAUGCUUUAUUAUGAUAGAAUAAUUA